rnacentral:lncRNA from 1 species
GAGGGAUGGCGGGAGAGGGGACAGCCAGGGGAGGGAUGGCGGGAGAGGGGACAGCCAGGGGAGGCAUGGUGGGAGAGGGGACAGCCAGGGGAGGGAUGGCGGGAGACGGACAGCCGGGGGAGGGAUGGCGGGAGACGGACAGCCGGGGGAGGGAUGGCAGGAGAGGGACAGCCGGGGGAGGGAUGGCGGGAGAGGGACAGCCGGGGAAGUGAUGGUGGGAGAGGGCCAGCCGGGGGAGGGAUGGCAGGAGAGGAGACAGCCCAGGGGGGAUGGCGGGAGAGGGGACAGUUGGAGAUGGCGGGAAGGGGGACAGUCGGUGGGGGAUGGCAGGAGUGGAGACAGCCAAUCCAAACCCCAAACGGGGAGGUUGCAAUCAGCAGAGAUCACGCCACUGCACUCCAGCCUGGGUGACAGAGUGAGACCCUGUCUCAAAACAAAACAAAACAAAACAAAACAAAAAAACACUCUGUGCCAAGCGCUGCCUACCCUGGUGCAUGGGACUGCAGGAGAGGCUGUCUGGUAAACGUGUCAAGGGUAAUCCCUGCCUUCCAGGCUCUUCCACUCUGCAGUGGAGCAGAUGCUGAACAAGCAAACUUGGAACCAUGGGGCAGUGAUCAGGGACAGAGUCUCCAGAAAAAAAAAACUAGGUCCCAGGCUGGAGUGCAGUGGCAUGAUCGUGGCUCACUGCAGUCUCAAACUCCCAGGCUCAAGUGAUCCUCCCACCACCUUCCAAAUACCUGGGACUCCAGUCACGUGCUACCACGUCUGGCUAAUUUUCGUAUUUUUUGGUAGAGAUGGGGUCUUGCUAUAAUGCCUGGGCUGGUCACGAACUCCUACACUCAAGUGAUCCUCCUGCCUCGGCCUCCCAAAGUGCUGGGAUUACAGUGAGCCACUGAGCCCGGUCGUGUCCUUUGCUUUCUAGAGUCUCCGUGUGUCUCUACCUGUUUGUCUCCCUGUCUAUAUCUGUCUCUCUUUUUCUCCAUCUCUCUGACCCAGCUGCUAAAUCUCCCCGGUGCUCUCCUCUUGGCCUCCAUCUUUCAGUUGUCUGUGUCUUUGUGUAUCUGUCUCUGUCUGUCUUGGUGUCUCUCAUGACUGUCUGGAGAAGUCUCUGAGCCUCCCCACCCGCGUGUCCCCGCAGCUGUUUGAGGGCAUGAAGGCGUUCAAAGGCAAAGACCAGCAGGUGCGCCUCUUCCGCCCCUGGCUCAACAUGGACCGGAUGCUGCGCUCAGCCAUGCGCCUGUGCCUGCCGGUGAGGGGUCCCGGUCCACCGGGGUGGGGAGGAGGGCUGGGGCCGGGGCAGCAAGGGCCCCUUGACUCAUUCAGAAUCCCACCCAGAGUUUCGACAAGCUGGAGUUGCUGGAGUGCAUCCGCCGGCUCAUCGAAGUGGACAAGGACUGGGUCCCCGAUGCCGCCGGCACCAGCCUCUAUGUGCGGCCUGUGCUCAUUGGGAACGAGGUGGGCCCAACUCCAGGGCUGGGAAGCUGGGCUGCGGGGGUUGGAUUCUGCAGGGCAGGGGUGGGGUCCUGGAGGCCUGGGCCUGGGGACGGGAAGGGACUGGGGGCCUGGACUCCUGACGCUGUCCCUUUGCCCGUCGCAGCCCUCGCUGGGUGUCAGCCAGCCCACGCGCGCGCUCCUGUUCGUCAUUCUCUGCCCAGUGGGUGCCUACUUCCCUGGAGGCUCCGUGACCCCGGUCUCCCUCCUGGCCGACCCAGCCUUCAUCCGGGCCUGGGUGGGCGGGGUCGGCAACUACAAGUUAGGUGGGUAAGUAGCACCCCCAUCCCCAGAACGACUGGCGCACUGGGCGUUGGAGACACAGGGACCAGCGUGCGUGCUUUCGGCCAUGCCUCUGGAUGUCACAUGAAGGUGACAUCAUCAGCACCGUGCAGGGCUCAGUGCUAAGUGACCUCCCUGGUCCCUGAAAACAAACCAUGGAAGGAAGGAGGAGGGGAUUAUUUUUCAGAUGGACAAAAAGGCUCACAGAUGGGAAGGCAUUGGGUGGAGGUCAGUGGGGAAACCAGGACUGGUCCCUGGAAGCCUCCAGGAGUGAAGCUUACACUCAGCUCAUUGGCUUCUCGCCCCAGAAGCCUCCCCUGAUCCCCCAGGCUGGGCUGCGCUCCCCAUACCCAGCUCCCACAGUCGUUUGAGCCUCCAAAGCCCCUCACCCCCGUGUGGACUUUCUGUGUAAAUCUGUCUCCCAGUGGCCUCAGCUCAGCAGGGCAGGAAGGAGACAGCUGGGUCUCCUGGGCAACCAAGGCAGAGGGUGGGCACUGGCGUGUUGGGACAGGAAUGUGGCCCCAGCUGGGGGUGCAUUCAGGUCCUUUCAGCCACAUCCUGUGAGGUCUCCUGAGGGCCAGGCCCUGUGCUGGCAGAAGCUGGGGACACAGAUGAGUCAGCCCCGAGCCCUGCUCUCCUGGGUCUCCCAGGCUGGUGGGAGCCCCAGUAUUCGGAGCUGCAUGUUCUCUGGUGAGGUGACCCAGGGCAUUGUGAAAGCCUUCACAGAGGCCAGAGGCGGUGGCUCACGCCUGUAAUCCCAGCACUUUGGGAGGCUGAGGCGGGCAGAUCACGAGGUCAGGAGAUCGAGACCAUCCUGAUUAACACAGUGAAACCCCAUCUCUACUAAAAAUACAAAAAAAAAAAAAAAAAAUUAGCCGGGCUUGGUGGCGGGCGCCUGUAGUCGCAGCUACUCAGGAGGCUGAGGCAGGACAAUGGCGAGAACCCAGGAGACAGAGCUUGCAGUGAGCCGAGAUCGCGCCACUGCACUCCAGCCUGGGCGACAGAGCGAAACUCCAUCUCAAAAAAAAAAAAGAAAGGUUUCGCAGAGGAGGCGACCCUUCAACUAGGUCUGACGAGGAGGGAGGAGGGGGUUUCCUGGGUACAAAAGUCAGCAAACUGUUUCCAGUCCUGGGAACCAUGUGUACAGGGACAGAAGGAAUAGGAUCACAGAAGAUGUUCAGGUUACAAAAAUAAGUUUGGGUUUUGAAAAAUGCUUAGCAAGUAUUCAUUAGACCCAGGCAGGCCUGGAAUGCCGGAAGGAGGCUAGGGUCUUGUCCUGGGGCACUGGGGAGCCAUGGGAGGCUUGUUAGCAGCUGAGGGGAGAGGCUAUCUCUGGGAGAGAGACUCAGAAAGUCAUCCAGGUAGCCCAGUUCACUGGGGGAGUCCAGGGAAGGUCCAGCACCCAGCCUGGAGGUCUGGAAACACCUCUCGAGGAGGUGACAACAGAAACGGUUUUGGAGCCAGGCGCGGUAGCUCACGCUUGUAAUCCCAGCACUUUGGGAGGCCGAGGUAGGCGGAUCACUUGAGGUCAGGAGUUUGAGACCAGCCUGGCCAACAUGGUGAAACCCCGUCUCUACUAAAAAUAU